rnacentral:rRNA from 1 species
UUUGGUAGCGAUAGCGAAGAGGUCACACCCGUUCCCAUUCCGAACACGGCAGUUAAGCUCUUCAGCGCCGAUGGUAGUUGGGGGUUUCCCCCUGUGAGAGUAGGACGCCGCCAAGC